UAUUAAAAAUUUCAUCUAUUUCUAUUAUUAAAAACUGGUGUAGCUGACAAAAUAACUACACAGUUACACAUGACAUGCCACGUGUAUCUCAUACUGAUAUACAAGUACCAAAAUUUGAUAGUAGAAACAGAUAGCAAUUUUUAACA
rfam:Gossypium arboreum cultivar AKA8401 contig_4207_1, whole genome shotgun sequence.